UACGAAGGGGGCUAGCGUUGCUCGGAAUCACUGGGCGUAAAGGGCGCGUAGGCGGCCAUUCAAGUCGGGGGUGAAAGCCUGUGGCUCAACCACAGAAUUGCCUUCGAUACUGUUUGGCUUGAGUUUGGUAGAGGUUGGUGGAACUGCGAGUGUAGAGGUGAAAUUCGUAGAUAUUCGCAAGAACACCAGUGGCGAAGGCGGCCAACUGGACCAAUACUGGACGCUGAGGCGGCGAAAAGCGUGGGGAGCAAACAGG
rnacentral:rRNA from 1 species